rnacentral:misc_RNA from 1 species
GUGAACCUGCGGAAGGAUCAUUAUUGAAAUAAACCUGAUGGGUUGUUGCUGGUUCUCUAGGGAGCAUGUGCACACCUUGUCAUCUUUAUAUCUCCACCUGUGCACCUUUUGUAGACCUCCAGGUCUAUGUUGCUUCAUUUACCCCAAUGUAUGUCAAUAGAAUGUAUGUGCCUAUGAAAUCUAUACAACUUUCAGCAACGGAUCUCUUGGCUCUCGCAUCGAUGAAGAACGCAGCGAAAUGCGAUAAGUAAUGUGAAUUGCAGAAUUCAGUGAAUCAUCGAAUCUUUGAACGCACCUUGCGCUCCUUGGUAUUCCGAGGAGCAUGCCUGUUUGAGUGUCAUUAAUAUAUAUCAACCCUCUUGUUGAGUGGUUUGGAUGUGGGGGGUUUUGCUGGCCUCUCUUAAGAGGUUCAGCUCUCCUGAAAUACAUUAGCAGAACAACCUGUUUAUUCAUUGGUGUGAUAACUAUCUACGCUAUUGGAUUCGAGGCAGUUCAGCUUCUUAACGGUCCUU